CCAGUACUUUACACUCAAGCUUAUUUAGCUCGCAUACUUUUCUGAUGUUGUCCAGCACCUCCAAUCUAUUCGAGUCAUCGGUGAGAGUCACAUCGGAACCCAAAGUGGCAGCCGUCAAUCCAGGCAAGGAAGUUCCGGCACCGAGCUCAACUACGGCGGCACCGGAAAAUCGCUCCCUCUGUUGCCAAAUGUACUCGGCG
rnacentral:misc_RNA from 1 species